UCGAGCGAGCGCUCACGCGGAAUUUUUCGGAAGGAAGCGGGAGUGACUUAGCGGCGGACGGGUGAGUAACGCGUGGGUAACCUGCCCCAUACCGGGGGAUAACGGUUAGAAAUGACCGCUAAUACCGCGUAAGCGCGCGAGGCCGCAUGGCUGCGCGCGAAAAACUCCGGUGGUAUGGGAUGGGCCCGCGUCUGAUUAGGUAGUUGGCGGGGUAAGGGCCCACCAAGCCGACGAUCAGUAGCCGACCUGAGAGGGUGGCCGGCCACAUUGGGACUGAGACACGGCCCAAACUCCUACGGGAGGCAGCAGUGGGGAAUAUUGCGCAAUGGGGGAAACCCUGACGCAGCAACGCCGCGUGAGUGAAGAAGUAUCUCGGUAUGUAAAGCUCUAUCAGCGGGGAAGAAGGAAGACGGUACCCGACUAAGAAGCCCCGGCUAACUACGUGCCAGCAGCCGCGGUAAUACGUAGGGGGCGAGCGUUAUCCGGAUUUACUGGGUGUAAAGGGAGCGUAGACGGCGUCGCAAGUCUGAAGUGAAAGCCCGUGGCUCAACCGCGGAACCGCUUUGGAAACUGCGAGGCUGGAGUGCUGGAGAGGUAAGCGGAAUUCCUGGUGUAGCGGUGAAAUGCGUAGAUAUCAGGAGGAACACCGGUGGCGAAGGCGGCUUACUGGACAGUGACUGACGUUGAGGCUCGAAAGCGUGGGGAGCGAACAGGAUUAGAUACCCUGGUAGUCCACGCGGUAAACGAUGAGUGCUAGGUGUCGGGGGGCAAAGCCCCUCGGUGCCGCCGCUAACGCAAUAAGCACUCCACCUGGGGAGUACGUUCGCAAGAAUGAAACUCAAAGGAAUUGACGGGGACCCGCACAAGCGGUGGAGCAUGUGGUUUAAU
rnacentral:rRNA from 1 species